rnacentral:lncRNA from 1 species
UAGAAAAAUAAAGUCCUCUACCAGAUGUGGAGAUCUUAGCUAAACCGACUUGGCAAGGCAGCUAAUUCUCCACUGUCAAAUCUUUCUUUUCUACACUUUGUUGUAUCGUUGAACGGUAAAGAGAAUAGGUUUGCUGACUCUAUGUUAAGCUGAAGCUCUUCUGUUUUGUUACUGGUCUUGGGUUCGACGCGGUAUUUAUGGGGAAAAGAAAAGGAAACGAAGAAUCUCAUUUAGAAUGGAAAAUUCAAGAAGGUGAAAAUAUAUAUGCUGCUUUACAUCCCACAUUAACACUUUUUGACUGUUGGCCAGGAAGUUCCCAUCCCAGGGAAAGGCAACCUCCCUAGCUAGGGCACUCGUAUUUUCAGUGUUGACUUGAUUUUUCCAUAGCCAUUUUUGUUUCUUGUCAUGUUAAUGUAUAACCGAAAACAAGAAAACUACUCCUUGAAGAACA